GGGGAAUAUUGGACAAUGGGCGAAAGCCUGAUCCAGCCAUGCCGCGUGUGUGAAGAAGGUCUUCGGAUUGUAAAGCACUUUAAGUUGGGAGGAAGGGCAGUAAAUUAAUACUUUGCUGUUUUGACGUUACCGACAGAAUAAGCACCGGCUAACUCUGUGCCAGCAGCCGCGGUAAUACAGAGGGUGCAAGCGUUAAUCGGAAUUACUGGGCGUAAAGCGCGCGUAGGUGGUUCGUUAAGUUGGAUGUGAAAUCCCCGGGCUCAACCUGGGAACUGCAUUCAAAACUGACGAGCUAGAGUAUGGUAGAGGGUGGUGGAAUUUCCUGUGUAGCGGUGAAAUGCGUAGAUAUAGGAAGGAACACCAGUGGCGAAGGCGACCACCUGGACUGAUACUGACACUGAGGUGCGAAAGCGUGGGGAGCAAA
rnacentral:rRNA from 1 species